UCACAACUCAAGACACAGAAAUCCUCCUCAUCAUCACAAACAUGACUUUGAUCUGCGUCCUCAUCUGGACUCUCCUCUGCUGCUGCUUCACAGAGUCCAGAGGACAGGUCACAGUGACUCAGCCUGCAGCAGUGAGCUCUGCUCUGGGAGCCUCCAUCACCAUCUCAUGUAGGACCAGUCACAACGUUCGCCUGUGGAGCAACUAUCAUUUUGCAGCCUGGCACCAACAGAGAAAUGAAGAAACUCCUAAAAUGCUCAUAUACUACGCUAACAAUCGAGUCUCAGGGACUCCAGGUCGUUUUUCAGGCAGUGGAUCCCACUCUGACUUCACUCUGACCAUCAGUGGAGUCCAGGCUGAAGAUGCAGCAGUUUACUACUGUCAUGGUGCAUUUAUUGUGGGUGGCAAGUACAUCUACACACGGUGA